rnacentral:lncRNA from 1 species
UACUUCAUCCCGGGUUUGAUCCACUUUCCAGACUCCAAAUUUGAUGAAAUUUUUACCUAACAUUCUACACUCAUAGAAAAUUCCAAAGAUGUAACAUGCAUUGCUAUCGGAGGUCGUUUGACCCCCUAAAUAAUUCGCCGAAGUUGGAACUUCGACAUAGUUUUUCCGUAGUACCGGAAAAAUUUGUCAAAAUCCGAUUCUUCCUCUUUUAAUCGCCUCUACAACCCUUAUCCGACCCCUCUAGACUAUAUCCACCCUUUGUAUAGCCUAAUGUCAUCAAAAGACUAGAUAGGGAUGGAUAUUUAUCUUUUUCUUUUUGGAAAUCGAGGUCCUUGCGUAGAGGAGAAGGAGAUCUACAUUUUUUCCUUCAGCUGGAAGUGCACCCGGAAUUCCUUUCCCUUUCUUUUUCUUUUUCUUCUUCCUCUUUCUUUCUUCCUUUCCUUUCCUCUUCUUCUUUUUCUUCCUCUCUGUCGCCUGAGAACCCCUCCCUUUCUUCUCUCUGCUUCAUUCCCGUGAGCCACCAACCACCCCAUUUAAAUCACAUCAAAGCACUAUUCACCUUUGUUUAAUAUUAUUAAAUUCCCAUUUUGCCCCUAACACUUCAACAUAUCUACAACUAUGUCAUUAUCUUUUGAUUCCUUCCAAUUUUACCCCUUAUAUCAAUUUUAAAGGACUAUUCUAUCCCUUUUUAUAUAUAUAAAAAAAAUUUGGGGUUAUUACAUCCUCCCCUCCUUAUAUAAAAUUCGUCCUCGAAUUUAAAAGAGUAAAUUACCUGAUUACUCAAAGGGAUGAGUAUAUCUACUCUUCAUAUUCUGCUCGGUGUGGUAU